UACGUAGGGUGCAAGCGUUGUCCGGAAUUAUUGGGCGUAAAGAGCUCGUAGGCGGUCUGUCGCGUCUGCUGUGAAAUCUCAGGGCUUAACCCUGAGCUUGCAGUGGGUACGGGCAGACUAGAGUGCGGUAGGGGAGACUGGAAUUCCGUGGGUGAUAGCGGUGAAAUGCGCAGAUAUCAGGAGGAACACCGGUGGCGAAGGCGGGUCUCUGGGCCGUAACUGACGCUGAGGAGCGAAAGCAUGGGGAGCGAACAGG
rnacentral:rRNA from 1 species